rnacentral:rRNA from 1 species
UACGGAGGGGGCUAGCGUUGUUCGGAAUUACUGGGCGUAAAGCGCACGUAGGCGGCUUUGUAAGUUAGAGGUGAAAGCCUGGAGCUUAACUCCAGAACUGCCUUUAAGACUGCAUCGCUUGAAUCCGGGAGAGGUGAGUGGAAUUCCGAGUGUAGAGGUGAAAUUCGUAGAUAUUCGGAAGAACACCAGUGGCGAAGGCGGCUCACUGGACCGGUAUUGACGCUGAGGUGCGAAAGCUAGGGGAGCGAAUGGG